rnacentral:lncRNA from 1 species
CGGAUUCGGCAAGGGAGCCGGUGGAAAAGCCCAGGUGGGGCAGGUUCAAGUGGAGGCACCAAAGGUGGGCACAUCAUGCCAGGGAGAGGAGGAGGGAUGCCUGGAGGUGCAGGGGGAGGUACCCUUGGUGGGGGUCCCCGAGGAGGAGGGCCAGGAGGCAGACCUGGAGGUGGACCUGGGGGAGGGCCAGGGGGUCGGCCUGGUGGUGGUCCUGGAGGCAAAAGUCAUGGUAAAGGCCCUUGGAGUCCUGGCAUUCCAGGAGGUCUCAAAAAUGGAGGAACCCCUGGAGGUGGUCCAGGAGGAAGGCCCGUGGGUGGCCCAGGAGGUUGUAAAGGUGGAGCAGGUGGUGGUCCAAGAGGAGGUGGUCCUGGCAUGGGAGGUGCUUGUAUCUGAGAAGGAGGAACAGACUGCGGGGGAGCCUGCUGCUGUGAAGAAGCAGUAGACGUGCCAUCAGUAUGAGGGUCCUCUUUAUGCUGUUUUUGUGAUUGUUUUUCUGCUUCAGAAUCAUCAGAACCAUCUUCAUCAUCAUCCUUUGAAAAUUUCUCUACUUCCCGUCCUUCCUUUGGGAUUUCCUGACCCGCCAUUCGAAGCAUCAUGGCUUGAAGAGGAGUCAGCUCCUUCAUGUUCUUCUUUUUCUUCCUUGAUUUUCCAGGCAUAUCUUCAAAUCGUACACUCAGACCUGACAUUUUUUCUUCAUUAUUGUCUCUCUCACUAUCAUCACCGUGCACAAAUUCAUCCCCCUCACUUUCUCCAUCUGAUCUGUCAGUGUCACUGUCAUCGGCUUAUCCUGAUCCAUGUCCUCAGGAUAGCCAUCAUCUUCACUAGUACUGGACACAUCAUCAUCAUGCCCCGUUGAGCAAGUUCUGGACUAUACAACAUGUCUUCAUCUCGCCUACGAGGGGGAAGAUCUAGAGCAAAGCCCACUUUACUGCCAUACAUCUGCAUGACUUGGGGAGGAGGUGGACCAGGUAGAGGGCCGAGGUUUUCUGCCAGGGGGCAAACGUGGAACACCAUGUCCAAGAAGAGGAAGGAUAGAAACUGCAUGAGUUGGGGUUCCAUAGGUUGAGGUCUUCUUUAGGAUGGAGGGUGGCUGGGCACCAGGAAGUGGAAUGUCCUGGAUCAAGAUAUUAGAAGGAGCAUAUGGCAUAUCUGGCAAAGUAAUACUCUCUUCUUCCACAUGCUGAGCAUUCUUGACAGCAUCAAAAUAUUGGCUAAGUUGAGCCCUCUUCUGUUCAUAUUCUACUUCUAGCUUUCUCAAUUCUUUGUAAAUAUCUGGAUUCUCUUUUUCAUAAAGUCAGAAUACGUUGAAAAGUUUCACGCAGCUUUUUACAUUUGUCUUUCAGUACUUUCUCAUUUAACUGUGGUUGUUGCACUGGGUUAAACUCCAUUUCAUCCAAUUUCUCCAUGUCCCGGAUAAUCUGUUUCAGAUCUUUCAUCUUCAAAACUGCAGCUGUACCAUCAUAUGCUGUUUUUUGUUCUUUUUAAAUUCUCUCUUCCGGGCUUCCCUUUGGGCUUGGUCUGUAGGGUUCAUACAUUUUCCACUUUUGGUGGAUGAUGUUGAUCUCCGUCUCAUGUUGACAAUAUGUAUGGUUCACUUAUUCACUUAAAAAAACAAACAAACAAAAAACAACAGUACUGCUGGGCUCCCAGGAUUGCAAGAAGCGGGGAGGGGGCGAUUCUGGGCCCUUUUCACUUCGUAGGGGCCUUCACCUCCUUUUUGCAUACAUUUUUGUUGGACAUUUGUAUUUCUUCUUUUGUGAAAUGCCAGUUCUUUUGCUCAUUCAUCAUUUUUUGUUUUGUUUUUUAGUUCUUUGUAUAGUUUGAAUCUUUUCUUAAAUGAGUAAUUGAACCCUUAGUUUGGUGUGGUCAUGUGAUAGUCCUGGCUAGUGAGAAAUAUCAGUGCAUUAAUGAUCUGUAAGUGGUCUAGAGGGAUGGGGGAAGAAGGAAGGUGUUGUUUCCUUUUUCAUUUCUUCCUCAUUUCUGCUUGCUGAAAUGUGGAUGUAGUGGCUUGGUCUUUGGUCUAUGAGGUAGAAGGCACAUGCUCUUGACAGUGGAAUAAGGGGUGAAGCUUAGGUUUCUGAUGCCCUGGAGAACUCUACUAGGAGCCCUGACUGCCCUUCUCUGGAUUUGUUUUAUAUGAGAAAUCAUCUGCUAGGAAAAUGCAAGGAACUGGAGUACAUCAUGUUAAGUGAAAUAAGCCAGUUGCAUAAAGACAAGUAUUGCAUGUUUUCUCUCAUAUGUGGAAACUAAAACAACAACAAAAACAAACAAACAAAAAGAUGUCCUCAGAGUAGAAGAGGGGCUAUUAGGGAAAAAAAUCAGAAUAAGUGGGUAAGAGGUAGUAGGAGAGAGGGGAGAAGGAGAGGGUAGAAGAGAGGACAGUCCUGAUCAAGGUACUGUAUAUCCAAGUAAGGAAAUGCCACAGUGAAACCCAGUAUAAUUAACAUGUAUUAAUAAUAAUAAAAAUAAAUCAUCUUCUAUAUGACUAUAAAUAAAUAGGAGGAGGCUAUUUUUCUGUCUCCUUCUCUGUCUCUGUGUAUGUUUCUGUCUCUGUCUGAUUUUGUUUGUAUUGUUUUCCUUACUUCUGACAUUCAUUUUAUUUAUUUAUUUUUUGUGGUACCAGGGAUCAAACUCAAGGUGUCGCACAUGCUAGGCAAGCUCUCUGCCAAUGAGUUAUAUCCCUAGCUCUACUUCUGACAUUAAUCACCAAAUUCUUUGCCAAAAGCAUAAAUUUCCUUUCAAUAUGAUUAAUCAGUUUAUCAGUGUCAACAUCUCAGGUCUCCUAGUUCUCUUGCGCAGGUGUCAGCUUCUUGUUCUCUAAGAGGUCCCACAGGGAUUCUGGGAUGUCCUUUCACUAGCAUUACUGGGAAUCUCAUUUGCAUUAUGCUGGACCUUUUGUUUCCAAGAUCUUGGAAUUUUUUUUUUAACUUCUAAUUUUAGGAAAAGGAGAUGAAACUUUACAGAGUUGUAUCUCUAAAUAAUAAUAAUAAUAAUAAUAAUAAUAAUAAUAAUAAUAAUAAUACAUUACCAACCCCCUUAAUUUAUAGUUUCAGUGGGCAUAAAUUCUAUAUUGAAAAUCAUUUUUCCUCAUAUUUAUGAAGGCAAUGUAUAUUGUAUUAUAAGUUGUGGUGACAAAUUCAUGUCAUUUUGCUUCCUAAUUCUUUGUAUAUGAUUUGUUCCUCAUUCUGUAAGCUAUUAUGAUUUUUUCUUUGUCCAUUAUCUAGAAUUUCACAAUCAUGUUCUUCAGAAUAGGAUUUUUUUAAAAUCCAUCAUUCCUUAUAUAAUAGAUCCUCUCAAUCUGUAAAUCUUAAAUUCUGAAAAACUUAUUUUCUUUUUUGGAUAUUGGAUUCCCCCCUGCCUUGUCUCUGGAAUUUCUGAUAUUCAAACACUAGGUUGUUACUUGAUCCUCUAUUUUUUUUUCCUUUUUUUUUUAAAAAAAAUUGCAUGUGGAGAGGUUGGAGUUGUAGUUCAGUGGUAGAGAGGCAUGAUUCUUGGCACCACAUAUAAAUAAAUAAAGUAAAUAAAGGCCAAUUAACAACUAAAAACUUUUUAAAAAAUUGUGUGUGUGUGAGUGUGUGUGUGUGUAUUUUGGGAGUGAUAAAUGUCCCACUUUUUUUCCUUCUAGUUUAUUUGCAAAAAUUUUAAACCUCUAGUCUUAUAAUAUUUAUUUUCAGUAGUUCCUUUUUUAAACUUCUUUCUCCAGAAUAUCUCUCUUUUUUCCCCUAUUUUGACUGUCAUCAGAAAUAUUAUCCUACUUUUGUUUCAUGGAUUCAAUAUCUCUUUCUUACUGAGUCAUUGUGAAUGCUUGUGUUCCUGCCAUUAUUAGAAAUAGGAGAUAUUGCCAGCAACUUAGAAGUUCAAUUCUGGUCAGUUCUCUUUUCUGGUCAAUUCUCCCUACCACACCCUACCUGAAUUUUGAAUUAAUCAUUACAUUGAUUUUCCUUAAAAUUCAAAUACAUAGGUAUAUAACUUUGAACAUUAUAUUAUUUUGUUUAUCUUAGAUUGUUCUUCAAAUCUAAUCAGACUGCUUUUAUUAUUUGUUGCAUGAUUCUUUAUUUUAACUUUAGGCUUUUGAAAACUGUGCACAUUAGUGCAGUUGCAGUAAUUCAUUUACUUUUCUGUUGCAUUGUAAUUUAUUACAUACUCAUUAAGUAUUUCUCUAGAGUAGGUAUUCCUAAUCUUUUCUUGUGUAAUAAAACCCUUUGUCAAACUUGUGAGCCUAUGCAUGUCUAGGUUUCUAAGUAUAUGGAAAACGCAUAGGUUACAAAGAAAACAAAUACUUAAAAAAAUUGAACUAGAAUAAUUAAAAUAUAACAUUAAAUUUUUCAAGAAGAAAUGGACAUGUAUCUUUAUCAGGGCACUAAAUAAAAAGAUCUAGUGGUGGGUGUAAGAGACAUAAUUUUAAAGUAUGAUGAGCCUAAAAAUGUUGUUGUAUUUUCAGGACCUGUAAAUGAAGUUUGACAAUAUCUAUGAUUUUAUUGACUAAGAAAGAAGUUCUGCUAAUAAUAUUAUGGUUUAUUACCUCCCUUUAUUAACAAAGGAAAUGCUUCAUUUCAAUUAGAAGUAAGUGACAAUAAAUACACAACCAUUAACUAUGCAAGUUACUAGAUCUAGAGAGUCUUCAAUAGACUCCCUUUGGCUCUGUGUGUACUAGAGAUUACAAACUACUGCUCUAGAAUAUACCUUGCAGUGGAAAUCCUGGGUUAUAAAUUAUAUUCACAUUAAUAUUUACCAAGUAGUGACAAAAUAUUUUAGAAAUCUAUACUCUUAAUAGCAGUGUAUGAGGUUUAUCUAAUUUUUUAUUUUUGCCAAUUUGGUCUUAUAAGUGUGAAGAUACAUUUUACACCUGUUACUACAAAUAGGUAUGAAUUGCAAAGUGGUGUAAAUUAUAAGGUGGUGCAGGGUGUAGUCUACUUGAUGAUGUUCCUGCUUGGUUUCAUCCAAAGGCUGGACUUAUACAACUGUACAGAAGGAAGCAGGAGAGUGGAUUCAAUCCUUGCCCAACUGAGUAGGUGGGCAGCAGCCACAGUUCAACUCUAGGUGUUUAUGUUCUGGAGCUGUAUCACUAG